GUUCCUUCAGUUUUAUCCAGAUGGCAGUGCUGUGGAUCUUCUGAGCCCCAAUAAACAGACUCUAAAAUGUGUGGCACACCCCGUCCUCGGAAGCCUUGUAGGAGGUUUAUGUGAGGUGUGUGUGUGUUCAGCAGAAGAAGCCUAUACUCAGUAUGAAACAUGCAGGGAGACUCUGAAGACCAG